UCCCAAUAAAAAGCUACUUUUGUUGUUACUUUUGGUCUCCAGGAGAAGUGGGAGUCCUUUUCAGACAGCAUGGGAAACACAUGAGUCCUUUGGAGUUCUCUUGUCUGCCCCUGAGGUUGCAAUAAGGGCGUGAAGCACUUUGGGAGGUGUCCAGACACACAGGAGAAAUGGGAGUCCUUUUCAGACAGCAUGGGAGACACAUGAGUGCCUUGGAGUCCUCUUGUCUUCCUCUGAGGGUGCAAUGAGGGCGUGAAGCACUUUGGGAGGUGUCCAGACACACAGGAGAAAUGGUAGUCCUUUUCAGACAGCAUGGGAGACACAUGAGUCCUUUGGAGUCCUCUUGU